GAUGAACGCUGGCGGCGUGCUUAACACAUGCAAGUCGAACGGAAAGGCCCUGCUUUUGUGGGGUGCUCGAGUGGCGAACGGGUGAGUAACACGUGUGUAACCUGCCCUUGACUUUGGGAUAACUUCAGGAAACUGGGGCUAAUACCGGAUAGGAGCUCCUGCUGCAUGGUGGGGGUUGGAAAGUUUCGGCGGUUGGGGAUGGACUCGCGGCUUAUCAGCUGGUUGGUGGGGUAGUGGCUUACCAAGGCUUUGACGGGUAGCCGGCCUGAGAGGGUGGCCGGCCACAUUGGGACUGAGAGACGGCCCAGACUCCUACGGGAGGCAGCGGUGGGAAAUAUUGCACAAUGGGCGGGAGCCUGAUGCAGCGACGCCGCGUGCGGGAUGACGGCCUUCGGGUUGUAAACCGCUUUCGCCUGUGACGAAGCGUGAGUGACGGUAAUGGGUAAAGAAGCACCGGCUAACUACGUG
rnacentral:rRNA from 1 species